rnacentral:rRNA from 1 species
GUCGAGAAUAAUUCACAAUGGACGAAAGUCUGAUGGUGCAACGCCGCGUGGAGGAUGAAGGUCUUCGGAUUGUAAACUCCUGUCAUCGGGGAGUAAGACCUGGCGGUAAAUAGCCGACAGGGUUGAUAGUACCCGAAGAGGAAGGGACGGCUAACUUCGUGCCAGCAGCCGCGGUAAUACGAAGGUCCCAAGCGUUGUUCGGAAUCACUGGGCGUAAAGGGAGCGUAGGCGGCGUGGUAAGUCAGAUGUGAAAUCCCGGGGCUCAACCCCGGAACUGCAUCCGAUACUGCCAUGCUUGAGGGUUGGAGAGGUAGCUGGAAUUCUCGGUGGAGCAGUGAAAUGCGUGGAUAUCGAGAGGAACACUCGUGGCGAAGGCGAGCUACUGGACAACAUCUGACGCUGAGGCUCGAAGGCUAGGGGAGCAAAAGGGAUUAGAAACCCCUGUAGUCC